CAGAAAAUAGUUUAAGUAAAAUAUUAGUUUUGGAGACUAAAGAUAGGUUUUCUUUUUUCUGA
rnacentral:tRNA from 1 species